GACGAACCGUGCAAACGUUGUUCGGAAUCACUGGGCUUAAAGGGCGCGUAGGCGGGCAAGCAAGUCGAAGGUGAAAUCCCACGGCUCAACCGUGGAAGUGCCCCCGAUACUGCUUGUCUUGAGGGAGAUAGGGGCGUGCGGAACUUCCGGUGGAGCGGUGAAAUGCGUAGAUAUCGGAAGGAACACCGGUGGCGAAAGCGGCGCGCUGGAUCUCUUCUGACGCUGAGGCGCGAAAGCCAGGGGAGCAAAGCGGG
rnacentral:rRNA from 1 species